GAUGAACGCUGGCGGCGUGCCUAAUACAUGCAAGUCGAGCGAAUGGAUUAAGAGCUUGCUCUUAUGAAGUUAGCGGCGGACGGGUGAGUAACACGUGGGUAACCUGCCCAUAAGACUGGGAUAACUCCGGGAAACCGGGGCUAAUACCGGAUAACAUUUUGAACCGCAUGGUUCGAAAUUGAAAGGCGGCUUCGGCUGUCACUUAUGGAUGGACCCGCGUCGCAUUAGCUAGUUGGUGAGGUAACGGCUCACCAAGGCAACGAUGCGUAGCCGACCUGAGAGGGGGAUCGGCCAAACGGGGACUGAGAAACGGCCCAGACUACUACGGGAGGCAGCAGUAGGGAAUCUUCCGCAAUGGACGAAAGUCUGACGGAGCAACGACGCGUGAGUGAUGAAGGCUUUCGGGUCGUAAAACUCUGUUGUUAGGGAAGAACAAGUGCUAGUUGAAUAAGCUGGCACCUUGACGGUACCUAACCAGAAAGCCACGGCUAACUACGUGCCAGCCGCCGCGGUAA
rnacentral:rRNA from 1 species